rnacentral:lncRNA from 1 species
UCUUGGAUUGCUAAUGAUUUGAUGCAUUCAUAUUGGUCUUGCUGCAGAAAAAGGCAAAGGAGUUUAGGAAGCAAAAAUCAAUUGACAAGAUCGAUGCGGAGGAAUUUAUUGCAGGUUCCAGCAGGCCAUCUAAAAAGAAAUCGAAGAGCUCUAGAUAAGGAAUACUACUUAGAAAGCCUGCUUGUGCUUGUAAAACCUGCAGCUGUGUAAAUUGCUGUGUUGUCACUAUCUUGUAUCUUCCUUCGGCCACCAUGUUGACGUUAGAAUUCUGGAGGACCUUCCCAUCCAUGCCUGUCAGCUAGUCUUAGUAUCUGGCGAUUUUGGAAAUGGGGUCACGCUCUUUUUCCCCCUUUGUUGUGAUGAUGGGUGAGGUCCAUAGUUUUGCUCUGUGUACUGGCUCUGAUAAAUGUCGUUGCUUUGUGUUACAAAUAAUUUACUGACAUGGAUCAAUUAUUCUUCUCUCUGUACUUAUCAUUUACUCUUUUGGUUUAGUCUUUGUUUCCAGUAAUUCUUCAUCAUCUCGUCUGUGUAUGGAUAGGGAAAUGUUAGAGCUUCUUUACUUGCAACAUAAGAAAGAAACUGCCAGCAGCACAUCGAUUCAUUCCUGAUCUGUCAAUUAGGUUUAGUAAAGCGCAGAUAACACAAAGAGCUUACUUGUUUAGGAACAAAAAAAACAUAGAAAUCAAAAAAGCAUAAUUAAUGACUCAAGGCAGUAGAAAUCAAACUUCAAUGGGAAUUUACAAUCUCAAUGUAAAUGAAACCUUGGUAAAUUGCAGCAAAUUUGUUCAACAAAUCAUCAGUAGUCAUUGAGUAGAAAGAUUUCUCCCAUCCACUUCAGGAUCUUUUGGUUUUCCAUCGAGUAUAAGUGCAUGUAUUAUUUUGUGUAAGGGUUGGAGAUAUAAAAGCAGCCAGGGAAGUAAAUCAGUUGCAAUAAUUAUAACUUUUAUUUGAAGUCAAAGGAAAGUUUGUCUUGAACACGUUGCUUAAUGAUCAUUUCAAAAGUAUACUGUGAAACACUGUGGAUGAUUAUUAUUAAUCUCCUUCAGCAAUAUUAUCCACAUCUAAAUUAGUUUGUUGAUCAUGAUUAUUUGUCAAAUAAUGAUGCUUUGUGGAACCAAUCAAUGAUAAUAACAUACUUCUAAUUUUUUUUAAUGUCACCCCUGAAUAGCUUGUUGUAACUGGCUAAUUGCACAUAUAGUGUAAAUAUUAUUUAUAACAUUAAUGUAUAUAAGUAAUAUCCUAAAUAAAACGAGGCUAUAGUUUCAAAAGAAACCAGUACUAUAAUUUUCGGACCAGGAAAACACUAGGUAAACUGACAACAGAAAUCAAUAAAACAUGAAGCGGUGUCCUGCUGGAACAUGGAAUUAAUACACCAAAUCUUAUAGAGACUAGAAGCCAUCUAAAUUACAUGCACUCAGGCGUUUCACUAAUUUGUGACUGUGAGACUCAUCUUAAUUGCUAAUCCCAUUAAUUCAUUUUGUAAAGAGUUUAAGUCAUAUACAUGGUCAUUAGCAGGUGACCUGUCUUAUUUUCAAGAUUAUAAAUUUACAAUUUAAGGAAGCUUACAUGUAAAUAUCUUUUAAUUUAUAUGACCUGAUAGUAUAAAAAAUUCUUUACAAAUACCUGUAUGUUCACAUGAUUUAAUGGCCUAAAACUCCGACAUGUAAGUCUAGUCGAUAUAGCAUUAAGUGUUUAACUAAUAUUAUUAAUUAGAUCAUCUGAGGAGGAAAAAGAUACCGUCUACGGUAAGUUCAUCUAGUAACCUGAAAAAUAAAGCACUAGAAUAUAUAUGUUCAAAUACACUCAGAGCUUAAAUUAAAAUACUGCGAGGUUAUAUAAGUUAUAUCCAGCAGGAAAAGGAAAACUCAGUAUAUUACAAUGCAUGUCGAGCUUAACCAUAGUAGAAAAUUAAAAGAAAGGAUCAAAAGAAAGCUCGAAAAUAGAUUUAAGUUCAUCCCAAUUCCCAUGCUCUAACCACUCAUUAAAGUCGAGAGGACUAUUCGAAUUGGAUGCAGUUGCAACAGUAGAGAUCGAUAGCAUACUUUCAUCAUUUGCAGAUCCUGAGCUUUGUUGCCCUACGUUUAACAGCUGCUUAUUUUCAACAUGAUCACUACAGGUAUUCUGUUUGACCACAUGAGGUGUGCUAAAACUGAUGUAAAUCUGAGAACUUUUUGAAGAAUCAAUAUUGCUGCUGCAUAUUUUGGGCUGCGGCGUUGCUGCUGCUACUUUCCAAUCUGGUAUAAAUUUUCGAUAUGAAGCAUUUCGUUUCAAGAUACGACAAAGAGUCCAUGCUUCCUGGAAAGAGAUUUUCAAUUUAAUUCAUGCAUGUAGAAUUAUAUAUUAAUUGUAGAUAAAAUUAUAUUUUAUUUAAUAGCAUGGUACCAGAUUGACAGUAUUGUCAUAUAAUACAAUAUGAUAUUAGAGAUUCUGAUAUUAGAAUAGAUUAUGAUAAGCUUGAUUACUUAUACGUCAGGCAACAAAAAUGCUGGCAUGCUUAUAAGUUUAUAUCCUCGUAAACUAUCAAAAUUACGGAAUGAGAGAUGAUUAUUUAGCUUAAGAAAAUAUAUCGAUUAAUAACAACUAUAUAUCCCAUCUUGGCAAACUUAAUUCUGAAGAUUUAGAUUCCGUUGAUAAACAAAAGUGAAUUAGUAUGAUAGCAUGUUUAGCCAAACUUCUAAAAUAAGUUUAGUUUCAAAUGUUUCUUUUUGUAAAGUGCUUUUGGUAUCUUCGUUUGAACCAAAAAAGAAAGUGAGAAACAUGUUGUGUUUAGUUAAAUAAUUAAAAAAAUAUUUUUAGACAACAAUUAGUGUUUGACCAAACCUUGUAAAAAGUAUUUUUUUUAAAAGUGAUUUUCCCACAAGUGAUUUGGAAAGAAGCCACGUACUUUUUUUUUGCUUCUCAAAGAUUAUUUUUGCUUCUACUUAAAAACACUUUUUCCUUCUAAUUAAAAAGCUUGGUCAAACACGGUUAGUUUAGUUGGGAAAAAAGCACUUUUGGCAACCAAAAAAAGAAGCUUGGCCAUUUAACUAUUAUUUAACAUUCUUAAAUCAAACUAAGACACGUAAAAUGAAACGAAACGAGUAGUAUGAAUUUUGAAGUUUCUUACAGCUUCUUGAGCAAUGGUGUUAGCUGAAUGAAGGUUUGGAAGACGAAACUCGUGCAUCAUCCACUCAGUUUUUGUGCCUUUUCCAGCACUGCCUCUGUAAUAUACCAAUGAUUUCUUUAGUCCUAUGACUUCUCCUUUACUGUAAAUAGAUUUAUCAAUACCGGUUGCCUUCCAAAAUCCAGAACCCGCCGUCACUCUGUUAGGUCUUACACUGUUCUUGUAUUUUCUUCCCCUUUUGCAAUAGUAGUACCAUUCAUUUUCUCCCUUGUUACUAGCCUCUGAAACAUCCAGAUAAUUAAACGACUCGUUAAAAGUACGUAUACAAUGAUAUUCAGUGCUAAAAGGUCAAACGCUUUUUGUGCAUGUGCUGCCUCUUCAAUUCUCUACUACAAUUUGCAUGUCGAAGUAGACACAUGUCUUAUGCCUUGACAUAUCCAAAUUAAAUAAACGACUCUAAAUUUAUAGCAUAUAUAAAACCUUUUAGAAAAUCUUUACAUGCAAAUGUGUAAUUUUAAACAAAUCUUCUUCUGUCCUGAUCAUAUAUAUAUAUAUAUAUAUAUAGAAGUACGUACUAGUUCUAAAUUCAAAACCAAUGACGAGUAUAUAUAUAUAUUUGUUGGAUAGUUGUAAUAAUUCUUAACUCUUUUCUUUUUUCUAUCGUGUCUAAUAUUACAAUUUUUAACCACAGAGGCUCUCUCAAAUAUUUACAAAAUAUACGUGUUAGAUCAUGAGGUUCAAACCUCUGACCUCUUAGAGUAAAAUUAGGAACAUAACCAACACACCAUAACGUAACUUUGUGCCAAAUGAUGUCAUUUUUUUCUACGUAUCCGUUUCCUCACACUAUUAAUACAUAUAUUUAGUAAAAUUUUCCGACGAAACGGUGUUAUGAUAUUUUUGUUACAUCAAACACACACCCUAAACAUCUAUUAUACUUUUUUUUUUAGGUCAUAUUUUCUUUAAGAAAAACCUAGAGAAAUGAAAGAAGCAAAACGGAACUGUAAAACAAAUUAAAGAAAUUAAGAGAGAGUAAUAAGUAGACAUACGAGGCAGAUCCCAAGGGUCAUAUUUGUAGAUGUCCAUCUGUUUGAUAAGUUGUAAACCGAUCGGUCUUUUCUCAACUUUCCUUCGAAGGUAAAACCCAACAAGCUCUUCAUCUGUCGGAUGAAACCGAAACCCUGGAAGUGGAACAUCUUCGUCUUCUUCUUCUGCCUUUAAUUUGUUGUAGUAAUUAUUAUUUGUAACUAUGCUGUUGCUGCUUAUUUUUUCCACUUCCAUUAUUAAUUCUUGUUGUUUUUCUUCUUCUGCUUUUUUAAUGAAAGAUAAUUAUAAAUUGGUGGCCUGGUCUCUUGCUAGGGUUGUAUAUUUAUAUAUAUCAGCAUAUAUAUAUAUAUAUAUAUAUAUAUAUAUAUAAAGAAGAUGAUGUAAAUUAAUUAAUUAAGGAGGCUCAAGACUGUGUGUUCCUUUAAUUUGGUCAAAGUCAUGAGGAUUGACUUUGUUGUUUCAGGGGCAAAAGGUCUUUGAAUGGACGGAGUCUUUGUAUAUAUGAGUGAUCACCCAUUGACUUAAAAUACAGGAAAACCCAAAAGGACAACAAUUUAGUAUAUUAUAAAACUUAUAGAAGAGGGUAAAGACUUUUUCCUUAGUAGAAAUAUCAUCUACGCGAAGGAACCUUCUUCUUUAUCUUCCCUCCCACUUGGAAAAAAAUUGAAAUUAUUGUCAAGUAAACAAAAACUAAGUGAAUGAUUAUAAUGAGGAGAGAGAAUCUAUUUCAAAAUGAGGCCAAAUUUGAGACUCGACUCUAUAUAUUGCAUGAUAAUGCGUGAGGCAUUACUACUAUAUAUGGUAGCCAUUCGAACCACAUAACAAAUGAUCUUAAAAUCUUAAUUUUACACAAAUAGCCGUCUAUAUUCACUAUUUACUUUUUCUAAUCAUAUACAUAGAUUAUACGUUGAUUAUAUACAAUUAUACACAUAUAAUACACAAAUUAUGCAUAUAUUAUAGGCCAAAAUCUUAGAUAGCCCCUUAAACUUGGCGCGUUUUGUAAAAUAAACAUAUAAACUUAUGGGGUGACCAGAUAGAUACUUGAACUCAUCCAAAGUGUAAUUUUUAAACACCCUCUUUAUGUUAGACUUUGUGCGUGAGGUCCAAAUGCCACUUACAUGGCAAAUGAACGAAUAAUAUGUUAACACAUGUAUUUUCUUUUCCAUGUAAGCAAAUAAUAGUCUAAAACCAAAUAAUACCUUUCAUUUGUUCAUCUUCUCUCUCUGAGACCCAACUCUCAUCUCAUUCCCUACCUAAUUUAUAUCACAGUUCUUGUAAUUCUAAAGUUAAAUUUCAUCCAAACUUCAGCAAAAUCAAAAGGAAAUCAUGUAAAGGUGGAGAUUUUAUUUUAUGAUGGAAAAUCAUCGUCAACUUGUCUGGAGAAGGGAGAUAACGAGUUAGAGAGGAAAAUAUAUGGAAGCAUCUACUGUGAUUUAAGAGAGAUGUAAAAGAAAACACAUCAAAUGACCACUGAAAUAUUUUGGCUUCGAUGGUGUUUUCAGCUAUGGAAAAGAGGAAUAUUAGGGGUUAGGGCUUUUUUUAAUCAUUGGGGAAAAGUAGUGUUGGGUAUGGGUUAUAUAAAGAGGAAUUUUUUACUGUUAAUUUUCUGAUUCAACAGCUUUAAAAUAGCUAUCACGCGCUCAUCAGUAAAGAUACAACACGCGGUAUGCCAGGUUGGACAUAGGUAUUUAAAAAUUACACUUUGGACGAGUUCAAGUGUCUAUCUGGUCACCCCAUAAGUUUAUAUGUUUAUUUUACAAAACAUGCCAAGUUUAAGGGGCUAACUAAGAUUUUGCUGACUAUUUUUAAUCUAAGCGGUUGGGUGAACGGCUAUUUGGGUUAAUUCUUCAACAUGGGUAUAAAAUCUAUCAGAUUGGAGGCAUUUGAAAUUAUGGAUUUUUAAUGUGAAGUCUUUAUUAUACUAGUAAUUAUAUUUAACAGGCACAAAUUUUAAAACAGUCGGAAGGUCAUUCAGAUAUUUAUCUUAGUGCGUGGGACUUUAACAUCAUCUGAAGCGUUGUAACCUCUCAAGUUUUGACCUUAGUUUCAAACCUCAACACAAUGCAAGAUGAUCACUCACUCUUGGAAUUUCAUUACAUAAACACAAAUUAUUAGAAACUUCUUUAUUUUUGGAGGAGACUAAUAAUAUAUAGACGCAAUCAUCGAAAAGUAUAUAGAUAUAAAUCAAAACAUACGAAACCUAAUAUUGCUUUAAUUUGCAUGAAAAGUAAGGUGACAUAUAUAUGGAUCAUGACUUGGGGUAGUGUCGUUUAUUCAAAGUAAUGGGAUAAUUGACUUUGAUGUUUGAGAGCCGAGAGAUUUUUUCCUGAAAUGGUACAAGUCUUUAGUNNNNNNNNNNNNNNNNNNNNNNNNNNNNNNNNNNNNNNNNNNNNNNNNNNNNNNNNNNNNNNNNNNNNNNNNNNNNNNNNNNNNNNNNNNNNNNNNNNNNNNNNNNNNNNNNNNNNNNNNNNNNNNNNNNNNNNNNNNNNNNNNNNNNNNNNNNNNNNNNNNNNNNNNNNNNNNNNNNNNNNNNNNNNNNNNNNNNNNNNNNNNNNNNNNNNNNNNNNNNNNNNNNNNNNNNNNNNNNNNNNNNNNNNNNNNNNNNNNNNNNNNNNNNNNNNNNNNNNNNNNNNNNNNNNNNNNNNNNNNNNNNNNNNNNNNNNNNNNNNNNNNNNNNNNNNNNNNNNNNNNNNNNNNNNNNNNNNNNNNNNNNNNNNNNNNNNNNNNNNNNNNNNNNNNNNNNNNNNNNNNNNNNNNNNNNNNNNNNNNNNNNNNNNNNNNNNNNNNNNNNNNNNNNNNNNNNNNNNNNNNNNNNNNNNNNNNNNNNNNNNNNNNNNNNNNNNNNNNNNNNNNNNNNNNNNNNNNNNNNNNNNNNNNNNNNNNNNNNNNNNNNNNNNNNNNNNNNNNNNNNNNNNNNNNNNNNNNNNNNNNNNNNNNNNNNNNNNNNNNNNNNNNNNNNNNNNNNNNNNNNNNNNNNNNNNNNNNNNNNNNNNNNNNNNNNNNNNNNNNNNNNNNNNNNNNNNNNNNNNNNNNNNNNNNNNNNNNNNNNNNNNNNNNNNNNNNNNNNNNNNNNNNNNNNNNNNNNNNNNNNNNNNNNNNNNNNNNNNNNNNNNNNNNNNNNNNNNNNNNNNNNNNNNNNNNNNNNNNNNNNNNNNNNNNNNNNNNNNNNNNNNNNNNNNNNNNNNNNNNNNNNNNNNNNNNNNNNNNNNNNNNNNNNNNNNNNNNNNNNNNNNNNNNNNNNNNNNNNNNNNNNNNNNNNNNNNNNNNNNNNNNNNNNNNNNNNNNNNNNNNNNNNNNNNNNNNNNNNNNNNNNNNNNNNNNNNNNNNNNNNNNNNNNNNNNNNNNNNNNNNNNNNNNNNNNNNNNNNNNNNNNNNNNNNNNNNNGUCCUUCUAACAUUAAAAUACCCUAAUUGGAAAAAAGAAAGAAAACCUACGGUUGGCAACAUCCCAAACGAAAAGGUGCUACAAGAAUUAACGAAACGGUGGCAGCCUUUUGUUUGGCAGAAUGCAUCUCUGCUUCGUAACAUCUAAAAGAGAACCAUGCAAAUUUUAGGGAAACAAAGCGGUUAAAGUAGCUUAUAAGCAUCUUUUGACUUAUUUACGCAUUUGGUAAAUACACAAAAUGCUUAUAAGUCAAAUGCUCAUAAGCUAAAAUCAGCCAUAAGUCAUAAGUUGGUCACCCCCAACUUAUGACUUUUUAACUGAUAAGUACUUUUAGUUUGACCAAAACUUUUAUUAGUUUAUCCUUAAUAAUAUUUUCUAAUUCACAAAAUAAUUUUUCCAAAAUAAAUUUUCUAACUUUCUUUUCAUUCCAUAUUCAUUGUUCAUCUUUUUCUUUACAAAGAAACUUUUUAAUUUAUAAUCUUUUGUAAAGUUUUUAAGGAUAUUUUAGUCAUUUUAAAAAAAGAACAACUUAUCAGCACUUUUAUACCAAACACAUCAACUGCUUAUUAUCAGUUUCAGCACGUCUAUCCAAACACGUAAAUGCUUAUUUAAAAAUCAAUUCCAAUACUUAAAAAUAUUUUUCAGCACUUCAAACUUAUCAGCUAUUUACAACGGGCUUAUAAUUUCAGGUGGAUGACUAAAAGCAAUUGGUGGGGAAGUUAACAACGAGUUCCCAUGAACCGAACUCGCUUCCAUCAGUUGAAUCCCCUAGCAGCGUAAGUUCAGAAAGGAAAUCUUGCUAACUUUAAAGUUGUUUGCUUAGGAAAUUCAUGUAACCAUAAAUCUGGUUCCUCUUGAAUUUCUCUUUUACGUUUCCUUCAUGAUUCAAUUUAUCUUUUAAUCAAUGGUCAAUUAGAAACUCUGCAGCGUGAAUUUGGCAUAGCAUACUGACACCGAGUUGAAAAAGGGGAAAGAUUAUUGUAGGUUGAUGUCAAUUUAUAAGUGGUUUUAAGGAUAUGUGAUUUAAUUUGAUACAAGACGACAAAUCAGAUUACAAUUGAAAUAAGUAAUGGAUAAGUAAAUGCUAACCACACAAGUUGAACAGUCUUAGCCUAGGAAGGUUUGACACCCUCGAGCCAAAGAUGCUUUUAUUGAUAUCAGAACAGAAACAACAAGAGAGUCACAAGAACUUGACGAGAAUAAUAAUAUAUUUCUUUUGGGAUGCGUGUUACCAUGUGCUCUACAAGUAACCGGACCCCUGUUAUAUAGUAGGGGAGUCUUAUUUUAGGUACAAUUCUAUAAAAGGUAAUAAUCUCCUGGUUUGCUGAUUUGCCGGUUCCCUACUGAUACGUGAUAAGAUUCCCGCCGCGAUAUCUCACCGGUUACGGAUAUUUCGGCCUUCCGUUAUUUUGGUCUUCUAUUGGUUAUACCGACAAUGUUUCCUCGAGCUUACUCGGGGUCGGGGUCGAUUCCGGGAUCAUGGACUCAAUGUUCUCUAGGACGGACGUUCUGACCUCGUGUUCUGGUUUGACGAGACUCGGGGUCGAUCCUCGACUCUUCUCAUUCCGAGUCCGAUCUGUCAUGUAAUAAUCAAGCCCGAUUUCGAUUGUAUACACUCAGUUAAUGUCACGACCCAAACCGAUGGGUCGCGACGGGCACCCGAUACCUUACUCAACCGAAUCCCAACGUAACAUAUCUUUCUUAUUAAAUCAUCAUAGGUAUGUGUGCCAGAAUGAGUGUCAUAAGAUAAACAGAGUAAACAUGAGGAAACCCCCGACAUAGAAUAACCCAACCUGAUAUAGAAACUCAUACCUGUGACAUACAAGCCUAUAAGGCCAAUGUGAUCCAUUAUAUACUUAAAACAUAGGCCGACGGGGUCAUACAAGUAUCCGUAUACAUGAUAUCUUUCUACAAGCCUCUAAGAGUACAUACUUAUCAUAAAGGUCGGGACACGGCUCCGCCAUACCAAUCAAUAUAUAUCCUAAUCAUACUGACCAAAUAAGCAACUCCGGAGCAAAUGGAGCACACCAAUACCCUCCGCUGAGCUGAUAGCCCACUUGAAGGACUCUCAACCUAUCUAUCGGGACCUGCAGGCAUGAAACGCAGCGUCCCCAGGCAAAAGGGACGUCAGUACAAAUAAAGUACCGAGUAUGUAAGGAAUGAACAUCAGUAAAUAAAAGUCAUGAGAGAAACAUUGAGUAAAGAACUCGACAUGUAAGUCUGAGUUAGCUCUGUAAAUUAUUUAAUAUUUACAAUGUCAUGCAUAUGCGUAUAAAUAUCCUACCAUGCAUAGGUAUAUGCGUUCAUAACAUCAUCAAAUCUUUGAGGGUAUCCCAUCAUAUUAUCUCGGCCACUUUGGGCAAAUCAUCAAGGUAUACCAGCUGAUCAGGUGGUGGUGCGUAUAUAACGUCGUAACCUUUUCCUAUAUCCCAUAUAUAUAUAAUAUACGCGUAUAUAACGCCAUCUGGUCAUGGGUCAAUAUACAUGUAUAAAUGCAUGAAAUGCAUAAGAAGUGCGUUAAUAAGAUUUCUCAGAAUGUCACAAGAUCAAUAUGCCUUUGAUUAAUAUCAUAAAAUAAACUUUAUCAACUUACAUAUUUUCUGAGACCCAUGAACAAAUGAUAAAACAAUAGCACACAUGAGGAAUCAAUAACAUAGGCACUUCUAGUAUUUCUAUGAAUAGAGUCAUUUAUGAAAGUUAUGCAUUUGUUCGUUUCGUUUGUGACGUAUGGAUCAUGCCAAAAGGAAAGAAGGGAUAGCCUUAACAUACUUGAGUCGAUUCUCUUGACAAUCCCUCUAACACAUCUUUUGCGAAAAUACGCAACGGCGGAUCGAGGUAAGGAAAAAUCCGUAUGAUAUUCUUGAGAAAGAUUAUACCGUACUCCCUUCGAAUCGUAAAUCCCACAUGCUUGAGGCAAUCACGUUGCUAUUGCAACAAUACCUUUGCUGAAGAUUUCUUCUUUAAGAUGAGCAACUCAAUUGUGAAUUAGAAAGGUUGUCUUUAACCUUUAGGUGUGUCCCACGUCAGGGGUUGACUAAGCCACCAAUUUCUCAUAAGGUGCCACAUUACUCUAUGACUUAAAGAGUCAUAUUUAACUAAUGCUCUUGGCUGCUGCGUUGGGGCUGUUAAGGUAUUAUCCAUAAUUUCUUAAUUACAUGGUUAAUCUUCCGUUAAAUUAAUAAUUAACUAAUUACUCAUAUAAUUAAGAAUGAUCUCUAAUUACUUAAAAUACUACUCACUUUUAAUACACUUUAUACAUCUUACUAUCAUGGUCAUGUGGUACCUUGUAUGACACUAGUUCAUAAAUAUGGGGUAUUAUAGCUUGGACCGUAUUUUAUCUCAAAACGACAACCUUCAACGAAACUCUUUUUCUUCAAUUUGCUUACUCUCUCAUCUUUACUAAUUUACUCAUCACUUGUUUGAAAUCACAUAAUGCUUAUAAUCUCAAAAUAAUCUCAUUUCCGAACUUACGUCGAUUAACUUACGACGAAACUUUAACAUACGAAAAUGCGGGAUGUAAUAUUUUAUUUUCGAGCUUAUAUCAAUUUACUUAUGGCGUACUUUCGCGUACGAAAAUAUGGGGUGUAACAGUUAAACCAUAUAUUCUAUGAUCCUUUGAUCAAUCGAGAGCAGAGCAUCUAGAGGAAAAUUUUAAACCAAUAAAGGAAGAAAUCAAAGAAUAUCAAUAGAUUACAGGGGGUAAAGGAAGGCUCACAUUGGAAGCAAUUAUCGUGAGACCAGUGGUACUCAAACUUUCGCCCUGCAGUUGAAAUUGUGACCAUUCUAAUUAGUUAUUAAUAUAAGAAAGAGUAUUUUUUUUUGUUUCUAUCAUACUAUAGGGAAAAAUUGCACACAACCGAACAAGCACCAUGCCAAUAUUUUCUCUCAACUUAAUGGAGUACCACAUAUCCUCACUUUCACUAUAGAUUUUAUAUUAUGACACAAACUAAUAUGUAGGAAUAUUGAGAUAACUUGCAAAGAAAUAACAAUUUAUACUUGGCAUUACAUGAAUGGAAACAGAGACACCAACCAUACUCCAAACUUAGAAUUAGUGAUCCACUACUAUGGAUUUAUGUUCAUCUCUCGCGGUUUAUUGUAGGACUUUUUUGCAAUUUUUUUAAAAAAAAGACUGAAUAAGAACCAAGCCUUUUGCAACCAUGUCAUGAGGUAGACAUAAACCUUUCCCGGCAGCCGGCACAAUGUAAUGCGUUUUGGCAUAAAAAAAUUCACUACAAGGUGAUGACUGAAAUCUUAUUUCUACAAAUGUUAAGAUAGAUGUUACACAUGAAAAUGGCACUUGGAAUAUUUGAAGUGUGGAUAUACUUGGCUUAGGAUUAAAAGUUCAUACUAGACUUAAUGUCUGAUAUUAUUUUGAAGAAUUAGCUAGAAGUGCACGCAAGGUUAAUGAAAACUACAAACGAACUUUUUAUUUUGCGUAUUUUUUUAUGGCACUAAAGUUUUCAUGUAGCAUAUAUGGUAGUUGCUAUGCUAAUUAUACAGUCACAAUGAGUUUUUGUUUAAAGCCUUAAAUUCCUGGAUAAAGUCUACGCUAAUUAUCAUCCAAAUAUUUUGAAAAGAAUACCUCUAGCGAAUAGUCUGCUUCAUUAGUGGAUAAAUAUAUAGAAAAUAAAUAAGAGUAUUGGCCUAUGGAGCCAAUUGUAUUUUUGCCAUAACUUAGAAGGAAUGAUCUAAUUCUAUUGAUCCAUGCACCUUUCAAAAGAUGAUUGUGUACUCUUACACUUUGAUAAGUUAAAUAUUUUCGAUGUGUGUGAUGUUGCUUACUACUUUUGAUUUAUUAGAUAUUAGUUCUUGACUACUUUUCACAGAAUUUUAAUAUUCUCAAUUUUAUAAUGUCUAAUCUUUCUAAUUUGGGUAAGUUUUGUACGGAAAGAAAAAUAUUUUGAUGAAGAUUUUUGUGAGAAAUAUUUUACUUAAAUCUUUAUUUUAAUAAAAUUAUUAUUUUAUAAAAUUAUAGCUUAACAUACACGUGCAACGCACGUGACAAGAAACUAGUAUAUAUAUAAGAAAUUUUCUUAUAAGGGUGUAGACGAAGAUGAGAAUUCCACGGAUAUAUAUUAGGAAGGGAACUAUAACAUGUGAAACAAUUUGAGAUACCGACUUCGAAAGAUUUGUUUGAAUUGGUAUUUAUGUUAUUGCACGCUUUUAAGAAGAGUAGAAACUUAUAAUACCACAAGUCGGGUGGAUCUAGAGUUUAUUAGUUGAUGCAAAUCUAGUAGUUUUUUUUACUCUAAUCUUGUAUUUUUAUUAAAUAUCUAUAAAUAUUUUCUUAUGAUAUACACACCCUCAUAGUUAGUUAUGUUUGUUAUGAUUAGUUGUUAUUAGCUUAGCUGUCAUUAGCUGUAUAAUUAUUCUUAGUUAGUUAAGUAGUUAGACACUUGUAUAUAUAUUUAACUGACGAGAGUAAUGAAAUAGACGGUUAUCAUUUUCUUCCCAACUCUUCUGCAUAUUCUCUCGAAGUUUCCGCCAUUGAAGAGCUUACUAGCUCAAGCUGCAUCUCACUGAUUCUCUAGUAUUUUGACAUGGUAUCAGAGCGGGCGAUGAAGAUGAAGCACGUGAACUGAUUUCGAUUAGCAAUCUCGUUAAGUUUCGUGAAUCGAUUGUGAAUUCCUUUUUCAAUUAUUUCAUUUCAUCAAUGGCAGAGUCGACAAUUCCUUAUAUACAUCCGCUAUACCUUGGUCAAUCUGAUACACCAGGAGUAGUUCUAAUUCUAGUAAAACUUGCAGGAUCUAAGAAUUACAGUCUCUGGAGCAGGACAAUGAAGAUUGCUCUUCUAGGGAAGCGAAAACUAGGUUUUGUAACUGGUACCUAUACAAAGGAGUCGUGCACGGUAGAAUUGCAUGAACAAUGAGAGACUUGUGAUCAAUUGUUCUUUCAUGGCUAAUGAAUACUGUAUCCACUGAGCUUCUUAGUGGAAUUGCUUAUACAUCCAAUGCACACCUUGUUUGGGAAGAUUUGACAGAGAGAUUUGACAAGAUUCAUCGCAUGAGGAUCUUUUAAUUACAUAGAGCCAUAGCUACUCUAGAACAAGGUACUGACUCUGUCUCAAUCUAUUUCACUAAGCUGAAGAGCCUUUGGAAUGAAUACGAUGCCCUAGCACCUACUCCCAAUUCAAAAGAGUAUGUUAAACAUCUUCAGCAACAAAGGCUAUUGCAAUUCCUUAAUGGCUUAAAUGAUUCUUAUGGCCAAGCUAGAAGACAAAUUCUAUUGAAAUCUGAAGAGCCUUCUAUUGACCAAGCUUAUGCCAUGGUAAUUGAGGAUGAGUCACAACAUGCUUAUAGUUUUGGUUCUGUGAAUGAUAAAACUGAUCCAAUUGCUAUGCAAAUUGGUAAGAAUCAGAAUUACAGAGGUAAGAAACCAUUCCAAUAGUGUGGACUUAAAGGGCAUACAAAGGAAAAUUGCUAUAAAAUUAUUGGUUACCCGGAGGAUUUUAAGGGAAACAAAAAGUUCAAUACUGCUAACAAUACUAGGAACCAAUAUGGUCGUGGGAAUGGUAAUCAUAGAGGGCAAUUCGGUUGUGGUACUCAACAGCCCUUUAAUGCUGCUAACAAUGCUUCUGCUUCAGCACAAGGCACUUCAGAAAGCGAUCUGCAAAGUACUCUUGCUGGGAAGGGACCAUACUUCACUGAGGAGCAGUACAUGCAGAUUCUAGGAUUGCUGAACAAAGAAACUGGUGAUAGUUAAGCCAAUAGUCAAGCUAACAUGGCAGGUAUGGCUGCUAGUUUGAUGUCACACAUAAUCACAAAAGACUAGAUCAUAGAUUAUGGUACAACUCACCACAUAGCAGCUACUGAAAAAUUAUUAAAUGAUGAUCCUAAGACUAAGAAGUCAUAUGAGGACAAAGUUAAUUUACCAACAGGGGAUAAAGUUAGAAUUUUUAUUAUUGGUCAAGCAUUUCUAUUUGAAUGAGAAGCAGUGGACAAUGUGCUUUAUAUUCCUAACUUCAAAUUCAAUAUGUUAUCAAUCUCCAAGCUAACUAGGCAGCUCUCAUGUUCUGUGAAUUUUCCCCUGAUUUUGUAUUGUUUCAGGACCUCUACAAUGGCAGGGUAAAGGGGAUUAGUAGAGAAGAUAUUGUACUGUACAUAUACAAGUGAAUACGAGACAUCAAUAAGGAGAAGAUACAUGGCUUAGUAGUACCUACAACAGAAGGAGAUUGCAACCUUUGGUACAUGAGACUUGGCCACCCUUCAGCUGGAGCAAUAAAGACUAUGGGGUUAGGAAGAGUUAUAAAUAAUGAAUUGUUGAAUAAAUGUAUUGUGUGCCCAUUGUCCAAGCAGGCUAGACUAACAUUUUCCACUAGUGAGUCUAGAACUGAAUGUCCAUUGUCUCUUGUUCAUAUGAACCUCUAAGACAUUACAAUGUUGCUAUAUUUGAUAAAAAUACUACUUCUUAACUGUUGUGGAUAAUUUUAGUAGAUAUUCAUGGGUAUACUUACAACAGCUUAAAUCAGAAGCAAUAGUUGCUAUCAAAAAUUUCUUGCAGAUGGUAAAGAACCAAUUCGCAACAAUGGUAAAGGUCUUGAGAUAUGAUAAUGGCAUAGAGUUUUUUAAUUCUCAGUGUAAUGAACUUUUACAAAACCUUGGAGUAAUACAUCAAAGCAGUUGUACUCACACUACAACAAAAUAGUGAUGUGGAGAGGAAGCACAUGCACAUACUAGAUAUAGCAAGAGCAAUAAGAUUUCAAUCCCAUAUGCGAAUAAAAUACUGGGGUACUGGUAUCUCUGCAGCAGUGUACCUGAUCAACAUAACACCAUCUUCAGCCAUCAAAGGAAAAAGUUCAUAUGAAAUGUUGUAUUGCAAACCUCCACUCUUAGGGCAUCUGAGAGUGAUAAGUUGCCUAUGUUAUGCUACUAUGGCACCCUAGGGUAACAACUUUGCUGCAAGAGCAAAGCCUGCAAUGCUCAUGGGGUACUCUGAGAGGUAAAAAGGCUAUGCGUUGAUGGAGUUGGCCUCUAAACAAUUCUUUGUUAGCAGGGAUGUGGUAUUCAGGGAAUCAGAGUUUCCUUUUUGUCACGACCCAAUUUUUCCUCUGUUUGGGUAUCGUGAUGGCACUUAGUCUUAGGGACUAGGUAAGCCUAACAUUAAUUUAAAAAAUAAUAUUAUUUAAAUAGAAUCUCUUACAAUUCCCAAAACCGGUAGUACAAGUCAUAAGCUCUACAGAGUGUUUGCUAGAAAACCUAUAAAUACAACUGUUCAGAAAUAGGAAUAAACAGCGCAAAACGAAAACUUGAAAGUGACUCUGAAGCCUGCGAACGCAGCAGCAGGUUUACCUUGAGUCUCCACAUCAACAGUCCACACAGCUAGCUAACGAACAAGUAUAUGGAUCUGCACAAAAAUGUGCAAAAAUGUAGAAUGAGCACACCACAUCGGUGCCUAGUAAGUAUUAAGACUAACCUCGGUGGAGUAGUGACGAGAAACAGUCAAGAUACCCACUGGUCUAAUAAACUGAACAGGUAUAAGUAUAUGAACAACAGAAAUAUGAUGUCUACAUAAAGAUUAUGCAAUAUGGCUCACAAUGCAGUAAUGGCAAUAAGGAAGGAAAAAACAAGUAUCAGCGGAAUAUCAUGAAAAUGACACAAACAAAGUGAAUAGAGCACAACCUAAAUCCGGAAUCACAAAUACAGCAAGGACAAGUAAUAACUCGGCAACUACAACUGCCUUUUACAUCAGGUUUUAGUCAACACUCCACGAACCUCAGACAAAUCACAACUCACGGGUCUCAAUACCUGAACUCUAACACUUGGCAUCUUGUGCCCUCAUAACACCUCAUAACUGCACUAACGACUCACAUGCCAAUAGAGCCAUUCUCACAAAGAAGGCAAGUAAACAAGGGUGAGCAUCUAUGCUCAACAAUAUCAAGAACACCUCUUAUCCGAUAAGAGUGCUUAACUACAUGUAUGCUUGUGCAAGUGUCCUAACAUAGUCCAUGUCAACAAAUAAGCAUAAGUAAAAAGAACGGAUAACACGUAGAAUAUUUUCUCGCAGCUUUCACAAGAUAAAGCUCACAUAGGUACGUAUACCACUACAUAAAUAUCAAUAACAAGAAUGCCCCCAGGCCACACAUCAAUCCCUGACACAGCCCACCUUGUCUCGCCACAUGCGCAACCCACAUAUACAUAUAUAUCCCGCCUUAUCACGUCGCAUGUGCAAAUAUCAAUAGUAAUAAUAGCACGGCAGAAACAUCAUGCAACCCCAUAAUAACAACCGCAUGACAGAAAACUCGUGCAUCACAAUAACCAUAACCGCACGACAGAAACCUCGUGCAUCACAACAAUAAGUACAACAACAAAAAUGACAAUAAUAUAAGGGUACGACAAAUAAGUCAACUUAGAAAUUCCAAAACUCAAAGAAACGGAGUAUCUAAUUUACAAGGAAUAGCCACAAUAGAGAAUGCUAGUCAUAAUAAGAACAUCUCAACAAGAAAGGAAAUACUAUGUAGCAAAGGGUCCACAAUAUACAGUUCGACAACGAGGGGGCUAACACAAGGUGAAAUAAUUCCAAAUAAGGACAAGUCAACUAAAAUAUAGGAUAUCUAACUUCUUUUAAGGUUGGGCAAUUAAGAAAGAAGUAAAACAACUUCAAUUAAGGAUGAACAAUUAUAGGAUGAGAUAAUAAUAAUUUCAAAUAAAGAUAAGCAGUUAUGAAAAGAUAGCAUGACAAUAGAGGAGGUAAAAUCUUCAGUUAAGUCAAAUAAGAGUCAAAUAGGCAAUAAGAGUGAAUCCUGAAGCAAUUAAUUCUAAUUAAAGCAUGUAGAGGUGAAACUAGUAAACUUCAUACUCAGUGAAUAUAAGGACCUAAGAAUCCUAAAAGGCCAACUUUCCACAAAUAAGUCCGAGCACACACUCAUCACCUCGCGCACAUGGACUACAAUCAACAUAGAAGACUCAAAUCCUAAGGGAAAAAUCCCCCACACAAGGUUAGGCAAGAUACUUACCUCGAACCAAGCUAAACCAGUCCGUAAGAAUGCCUUUUUCUCGAUUAUUCAACUCUGAAUGACCCAAAUCUAUCCAAACACAAUUGCAUAUCAUGAAUACAACCAUAGUAGACUCAUCUAAUUAAUGAAAUAAAUACUUUAACAAAAAUUCCGAAAUUCGCCCUAAAAAGUCGACCCAAGCCCAUGUCUCGAAAUCAGGUAAAAAUUAUAAAAUACGAACACUCAAGUCUAACCAUACUAAAAUCAUCAAAUUUCGAUACCAUUUCGUCCCUCAAAUCGUGAUUUUUCAUUUUGAAAUUUUCUUCAAAAACCACCAUUUUCGUCAACUCAAAACACAAAUUAAAUGAUAAAAAUAAAGAUAAAAUCAUGGAAAUAAAUAAAUUCUAGGUGAAGAACACUUACCCAAUCAAUUUGCUUGAAAACCUCACAAGGAAUCGCUCAAAACCGAGCUCUACAAGUCAAAAUAUGAUAAAAAUGGCCUAACCCUCGAUUUGGAAAACUUAUAUUCUGCCCAGGCCUGAAAGCAUCGCGAUCGCGGAAGAGGAGUUGCGAUCGCGAAGAGUAAAUGGCUACUGCCCGGAAUUGAUGUUGUGCGAUCGCGAAGAAGGAAAUUAAUGGCCCAGGAACUGGGCUACGUGAACACGUGAAACGACAUGUGAACGCGAAGAAGGAGAAAGCAGACCUUUGCGAUCGCGAAUGGAAUCACGUGAACGCGAAGAACAAUAAUUCUUUCUCCACAAAUUGCAUUACGCAAACGCGAGGGAACAGAUGCGAACACGAAGAAGGAGAAGGAAGACCUUCGAGAUCGCGAACGUGAUCAUGCGAACGCGAAGAAUAACGAAUUCCUCCUCCAAAAUUACUCUUCGCGAAUGCAAAAGGAAGGGACGUGAACGCGAUUAAGGAAACUAGAUGACAGAAAACAACAGUUCAAAAUAGAAGGAAAUGGCCCGUAACCCAUCCGAAACACACCCGAGGCCCCCGGGACCCUGUCUAAAUACACAAACAAGUUCCAUACCCUAACAAGGACUCGCUCGAGGUCUCAAAUCACAUCGAACAAUGCCGAAAAUACGAAUUGCACCAUAAAUCGAACUUAAGAACUUUCAAAACUUCUAACUUCGAAAAAUCGUGCCGAAACCUAUCAAACCAACCCGGAAUGACGUCAAAUUUUGCAGGCAAGUCCCAAAUAACAUGACGGAGUUGUUCCAACUCUCGAAAUCGUAUUGCGACCCUAAUAUCAAAAAGUCCACUUCCGGUCCAAAUCUCUAAAAAUUCAACUUUCGCCAUUUCAAGCCUAAAUCAGCUACAGACCUUAAAUUCACAGUCCGGACACGCUCCUAAGUCCAAAAUCACCCAAGAGAGCUAACGGAACUGAUGGAAUUACAUUUCGGAGUCGUCUUCAUACAAUUCCGACUACGGUCAAAAUCCUAAGACUUAAGCUUCCGUUUUAGGGACCAAGUAUCCCAAAUCACUCCGGAUUGUCCGGUAACUGAAUUAAACCACGCACGCAAGUCAAUACACAUAAUACAAAGCUGCUCAGGGUCUUAUGCCACCGAUCGGGACUUAAAUUCUCAAAACGACCGACCGGGUCGUUACACUUUUGCUUCCAUACCACUAGAUGAUUGUCCAGUAGUUCCUGAUCUGAGUAUGCAGGCUUCCCAAGACCUACCAUCAGAUCCAAUCUGUAUCAGUAGAGACACAACUAAUAAUGAUCUCAUAAAGGAUCAUACAUUGGCUACUGACAAUCCAGCAGAGCAGGUAGAGGAGACAACUUCCCAUGGUGAGGAGGCACUGCCUGAAGACUCACAACAUGAUCGACAUGCAGUCCUCAUAGAGUCAUUGCAGGACUAACUAUCUCAAGAAACCAAUGUUCCAACAUCACAUAUACCUCUCAGAAAAAGUACAAGAGAGUUCAAGGAACCUAUUUGUAUGAAUGAUUAUGUAGCUCCAAGUAAAGCAUCUAGCAAAUAUCCCUUGGCUAACCACGUGACAUAUGAAUACACUACUCCAACCUAUCAUAGAUAUCUAGCAAAAUUCUCUACUUUGGUAGAGAUACAGACCCUCAAACAGGUAGCCAAGGAUGAGAGGUGGAUCAUAGCCAUGCAACAGGAGAUUCAAGCCUUAGAAGACAACAAGACUUGGGAGGUAGUUGACUUACGUGAAGGAAAGAAUAUUGUGGGUUCUAAAUAGGUAUACAAGAUUAAGUAUCAAGCCAAUGGUGAAGUGGAAAGGCUCAAGGCCAGACUUGUUGCAAAAGGCUAUAGACAACAAAAAGGCCUUGAUUAUCAUGAUACAUUCUCACAUGUUGCCAAAAUGGUAACAAUGAGAUUAGUGAUUUCCUUGGUAGUUUUAAAAGGCUGGACUCUAUACCAAAUAGAUGUUUAUAAUGCCUUCCUACAAGGUGAUUUAUAUGAGAAGGUAUACGUGGAGUUGCCAGAAGGCUUUAAAAAGCAGGGGGAGAAGAAGGUUUGCAGUCUGCUUAAGUCCAUACAGACAAUGGAACACUAAGUUGACAGAUGCAUUACUAGAAGUAGGUUUUUCUCAAAGCAGUCAUGACUACUCUUUGUUCACUCUGAGAAAACAGGCUGAUGUUGUGGUGAUUUUGGUGUAUGUGGAUGAUUUUCUAAUUACAGCCAGUAGUGAAGCCUUAAUUACUGAAGCAAAACAGGUCUUGCAUCAGAAGUUCAAACUCAAGGAUUUGGGUGAGCUCAAAUAUUUCUUAGGCAUUUAGGUCCUGAGAUCUAAGUCUGGAGUUAUCUUGAACCAAAGAAAGUAUGUGCUUGAGUUGGUCACUGAAUUGGAACUUAGUAGAGCUAAGCCUACUAUUACUCCUAUAGAAUCCAACUUAAGACUCACAACUAUGGAGCAUGACAAGGCAACAGGUGCUAAGGGAGAUUCACUAUUACCUGAUGCUGGGCUUUAUCAUAGGCUUAUAGGGAAGCUCAUGUAUGUUACAAUCACUAGAGCUGACAUCUGCUAUGACAUUCAGACACUUAGUUAAUUCAUAUAGCAAUCCAAUAGGUUUCAUUGGGACUCUACUCUUCGAGUGGUCAGGCAUCUUAAGCAUUCACCAGGCCAAGGUGUUUUGUUGAGACCUGGUUCUACAAACGAGCUCAACUGUUGGUGUGUCUCUGAUUGGGCAGCCUGCCCCAACACUCGUAAAUUUGUCACUGGAUAUGUCAUUAAAUUUGGUAGUUCACUUAUCUCUUGGAAGUCACAAAGGCAACAAACUGCUUCUAGGAGCUCUGUUGAAGCAGAGUAUCGAAUCAUGGUUUCAGCAGUCGCAUAGGUCACUUAGUUGCUUGGCAUUUUCAAGGACUUGGGUAUAACCAUUCAUGUUCCUAUCACUGUGUUGAGUGAUAGUAAGUUAGCCAUCCAAAUCGUUACCAAUCCUAUCUUCCAUGAACGUACCAAACACAUCGAAAUUGAUUGCCAUUUCAUUCGUGAAAAGGUCAAAAUUGGCAUGAUCGAGACAGUGUAUGUGCACACUAAGGAUCAACUAGCAGAUUUACUUAAAAAGGGGUUGAGCCAAGCUCAACAUUUGCAUCUUCUAGGCAAGCUUGGUGUGCUCAACAUUCUACACCCUGCAAUUUUAGGGGGAGUCGCAUGAUAUACACACGUGGCAUAGUUAGUUAUAGUUAGUUAUGCUUGUUAUGCUUAGUUGUCAUUAGCUUAGUUGUAUAAUUAUUCUUAGUUGGUUAAGUAGUUAGAUACUUGUAUAUAUAGUUAACUGACGAGUGUAAUGAGAUAGGCUGCUAUCAUUUUUUCCCCAACUCUUCUGCAUAUUCUCUCGAAGCUUCCUCCAUUGAAGAGCUUGCUAGCUCAAACUACAACUCUCUGAUUCUCUAGUAUUUUGGCAUAUUUGAUUAUAAAACCAGUUAUUAUUGUAGUAUUAAUUUUUUUGUAAUAGAAACUCAUAAAUUGCUUCAAAUUAUAGAUCGCCUCUAUCACAAUUUAUUGACAUUGUUGGAAUAAGAAUAAGCAUUUUAGCAUAUGGAUAUUACAAUGUAAAUAUUUCUUAGGCAGGGUGAGUAUUGCUUUGGUUGAAUAACCAGCCGUCUAAUCGGUGCCAAAUAUUUGUACUCUGAUUAGUUUUGUCUUCUUAUUCAUGUAUUUGCCAAAAAUACCUUUGAUAUAGGCAAGCCACGAUAGUAUCAUGAUAGCCUUCAUCGACCGCCACGUGUUAUUAAUAAGAUUUCAACAAAGAUUUGCCCCAGGUCGAAAUGGCCUUAUAGUGAUGACAUGUGUGGUCGAAGAGUCAGCGAAGAUCAAGGACAUGAAGUCAUCAUAGAUCAGGGUUGAGGUCGAGCAUCUUAGACAGAGUUAUAACGACUAGUUUUAAGAUAGAACACACAAGAGAAUAUUCUAGUGGAUAUUCUCUCCACCUGUACUAUUAGGGUUUUUAGGAAUAUAUUCCCAAUAAAUAGAAAGAGACACAAUGAUAGAGGACAAAAGAUAUUCACUAUUAAGAAAACACAUUGACUUUAUAAAGAGAAUCUGGCCAUAUCACAAGCAUACGAAAACAACCUUUUUACUAAGACUCUUGUCUAACUUUUCCAAUUGAUCCAAGAACAACCUGAGUGUUCAACGACUCAUCAAUAAUUCAUCAUUAUCAGAAAGAAUAUCCACAGAUCCCACCCCUUUUUGGGUGACUCACAUAUUUUUGUUUACCUAAAUGCCAUUCAUUGCUACUUAUUAUUAUUUAAUGAUAUCUUUCACCUUUUAGGAUCAUUGGAUACUGUAAUUAUUGCUCACAUUUAUUUCCAUUCAAUCAAAUAUACAUACUAUAUGUCAUAAAAUCGAUAACCUUAUCUUUUGGAUAUUAAUAUUACCUAAAAUUGACUCCAUUUUAUUUAAAUCUAAUUUGUUGAACCCAGAUCUAAAUUUUUGGGUCAAAUAGUUUGGCGCCGUCUGUGGGGACUUCUUAGCUAAUUUUUUUAAAGUUUCCUUUAGAUCCACAACUCGCGAGAGUUGCUAACCUAAUGAACCACAAGAUUUCCCUUUAUCUCUGCACGUACGGAUACUUACAUAGCAGGUAACCAAGGAGGUAGGACAAAAAUGACAGGUGACUUACCUGGCAACCUCAUGAACGUUAUCAACAAGAGCUGUGAAACACUAGGCGAUGACGUGACACCCAUUGCCUCCCCCAGGCGCGAUAGGUCACCUCCCACACUGUAGCAUAACAAAACUAAAUAGAAAAAAGGCCUCCACGUCCACAAGAGAAGGGACGCCACCGGCCAUGAAAAAGCUCCUCGAAGCAUGCUUGACCGAUAAACUAGUAAGCGUGCUCAACAAGCCUACUCCAUGCACGAUCAUAGAGACCGCAAGAGCCCAUAAAACGCAAUGAGCAGACGAACAGGGCGACCAACCAGACCCUCCAACACUAGGUAUAACUCAUAAUGUUACUAACAAUGCAGGUGAUAGCGUCCUUACGUCUGUUCUAAAGAGGAUGGAAGAGAUGGAGAAUAAAAAUAAAACGCUCAGAGAUCAAAUGAAAGACCACCAAGAACGAGUCGACAAGAUACCGGGUGGCGGGCGCCCCUAAGUUAUUGCCAAAGAGGGACGCCGGUAGAUUCGUAGAGCAUUCGUAUAGCGAGGAAGCAACCCCGCAUGCCAUACUAAACACCUUUAAAAUGCGUCCAUAUCUCAGGAUAUACGACUGAACGACUUACCCCGAAGAUCACAUGACUCAUUAUGUCACCGCCGUGAAAGGCAACAACCUCACCAAGGAACAAGUGUCCUCUAUUUGGCUGAAGAAGUUUGGAAAAACCCUUAUGGGAUGGGUGUUUACGUGGUACUCACAGCUAUUAGCCCGCUCCAUAGAAACCUUCGAAGAAAUGACCAAUAAGUUCAUAACGAAACAUGUCGGAGACAAGAAAGUCGAAACAAGAGUCAAUGACAUCUUCGCCAUCAAGCAGUCCUUGGGAGAGGGACUGAGGGACUUCCUCGCUUGAUUCAAUAGGGUAAGGAUGACCCUACCAAAUGUGUCUGAAGGGAUGGAAGUAGUGGUCUUUCUGAACGGGUUAAGUAGAAAGGGUUCAAGAGUUACCAGAAAAUUGCUGAGCCGGUUGAUGAAGUAUCCUCCAACCACUUGGGAUGAAAUGCACAAUGCAUACUAUACCAAAGUCCGAGAAGAUAAAGACAACCUCAAUCGACCAACUUGACGGCUCGUCUCGAUAAAAGCCGAGCCUAGGAAAGAACUAAAAGAUAACGUAAGGAGGGAUCACCUAGUCUCACGACCAAACAGGAAAUGACAUCAUCCAUACAUCAGGGCCCUCGCCCCGUCUUCUUUCCGCUAUCAUGAAGGCCCAUCUAGGCCGAUGACGGGAACUUACCAGAACGAGAGAGGUAUGCCCCCCUUAUUGUCUACUCAUAAAUUUUAUGUCACCUAUAAAAAUAGUCUAUGCCCUGGAAAAACUCGUAAUGAAGCUGAACUGGUCGCCAAAGAUGAAGUUCGUCCCGAGCACCAGAAAAUGUGACGCCCUCUACGAAUUCCACUAGGAUUACGGACACAAGACUGCAUCGCCCUCAUGCAAAAGGUUGUGAACAUGUUGCAGCAGGGACACCUCAAAGAGCUGCUGAGCGACAAGGGAAGAAAUAACUUCGCUAGAGGUAGUGAAAGCCAAGGCCCACCAAAGCCACCAUCACUAGCUCGCACCAUCAGCAUGAUCAUCGGCGGCAACGACGAUGCCUCAAUCAACGACGUUAAAUUCACUGCCACUCAGAAGCUCAAAAUAUCUAUCACCCACGAACGGUAUAACAAACUCGAAGAAUGUAUCAUCUUCGACGAGUCAGAUGCCGACGAUUUGACUUUCCCUCAUAAUGAUGCUCUCGUCAUUACUUUAUGAAUUUUAGAUACUGAUGUCAAACGUAUCAUGGUAGACGAUGUGAAUGGAGAGUGCACUAUCCAUACCAAAGUCCUCACCGAGAUGAGACUCGAGGACAAGAUAGUGUCACAUUGUAUCACACUAACCCGAUUUUAAUGAUGUAGUUGAACGAACAUCAAGUGAAAUUACACUCCCCAUCUUGGCCGGUGGCAUAAAUCUUGAGACAACGUUACAUAUCAUAGACCAAGACACUGCAUCCAAUGUCAUAGUAGGAUGACCAUGGAUACACCCCAUGAAAGUUGUCCCCUAUAGCUUAUACCAAGUAAUCAAGUUCCCAACGCCUUGGGGGAUAUUCAGCAUACCAGAAGAACAACGCACAUCCCGAGAAUUCUAUCACAUCAUCUUAGACAACACGACAACCCAACAGAAGAAAGAUAAGGAAAAAAGGCAUAGCAAUUAAUAGGAUCGAGGUCGACGCAAGAAGAGACCAGGGACAUCAUCAUGCACCCCGAAACGGUUGAAGCCGCGAACUCAACUAUAGAGAAGCUCGAUCCCGUUUAAUUAGACCCCAGCAAAAAGGCCUACUUCGGUUGCAAACUUCGAGAACCAGGUAAACGGUUGAAGUCACAGACUCAACUAUAGAGGAGCUCGAUCUCAUUCAAUUAGACCCCAACAAAAGGCCUACUUCGGCUGCAAACUCCGAGAACCAGGUAAAUUUAGUCAAUUUUUAAUAACUAAUGCAAAUUUGUUUACCUUCAGCCAUGCAGAUAUGCCGGGCAUCCCUAAGGAGAUUGCCACACAUAAAUUAAACUUCGAUCCAUUCUAUCCCCUGGUAAGGCAGGUCAGACAAAAAUUCAACCCUGCCAUCAACGAUGUCGUCCACGAUGAGGUGGAGAAACUGUUAGAAAAUGGCUCCAUCAGGGAGUCUAAAUUCCCAAAGUGAAUCACCAACAUAGUGAUGGUAAAAAGGAAAAAGGUAAAUGGAGGAUAUGUGUAGACUUUACGGACUUGAACAAAGCAUGCCCGAAGGAUUCGUUCCCGUUACCACAUAUUGACCAAAUCAUCGACGCGACCGCCAGGCACGAGCUGUUGAGCUAUACUCGGGCUAUAACCAGAUACUUAUGGAAGAAGAGGACCAAGAGAAAAUCACGUUCAUCACCCACCAAGGAACGUAUUAUUAUAGGGUCAUGUCAUUCGGGCUGAAGAACGCAGGAGCUACCUAUCAAAGAUUGGUCGCAAAAAUGUUCAAAGAUCAGCUUGGCAAGACCAUGGAGGUAUAUAUCGACGACAUGCUGGUCAAAUCCAUAAAGGCGGAAGACCAUAUCGACCAUUUGAAGGAAGCUUUCGACAUACUGAGACGGUAUAGAAUGAAACUAAACCCAAAGAAAUGCGCAUUUAGCAUAGCCUUGGGAAAGUGUUUGGGCUUCUUAGUAUCACAACGGGGGAUCUAAGUCAACCCAGAACAAAUCAAAGCUAUUGAAGGGAUAUUGGAGCAACUGACUAAUAAGAAACAAGUCCAAAGGUUGACUGGUCGAAUCGUUGCCCUAUCAAGAUUUAUCUCGCGGUCUUCCGACAUAUGUCAUAGAUUUUUUGGCGUACUCAAAAAAGGAUAACACCCUUGAGUGGAAGCCCAAGUGCGUACAAGCUCUACGAGAUCUAAAGGCGUACAUGUCAUCACCACCUAUGCUCUCGAAGCCCGAACUCGGGGAACAUCUCCUCGUCUACCUCGCCGUCUCCUAAGUGGCAGUAAGUGCAGCCCUAAUUUGAGAAAGUAAAGGUACGCAAUCUCCCAUUUAUUACACUAGAAAAACACUCGUCCAUACCGUAACGAGAUACCAACACCUCCAGAAGCUGUCCCUGGCACUAGUCAUAGAUUCACAAAAGCUUAGACCUUAUUUUCAGUGCCACACUAUCUCGGUCGUCACCACUUUUCCUCUAAGAUGCAUUUUAGAUAAACCCAAAUUAUCGGGGAGGCUGGCCAAGUGCGCCAUCGAGCUAAGAGAGCACGAUAUCACAAAUCAGCCACGAGGAGUGAUAAAGUCGCAAGUGCUCGCCAACUUUUUUGCAGACUUCAUCUCAAGGAUAAUGCCUGAGGUCGAGAAGUAAGUCGUCCUAGCUUCUAUCCAAACACAAGACCUUUGGGUCCUAUACACUGACGGCGCAUCCAACGCUUAUGAAUUCGAACUGGGACUUAGUGCUCGAGGUCCCUACCGGCAAAGUAAUUCACUAGUCCAUAAGAUGCCCAGGUAUGACUAAAAAUGAUGCCGAGUAUGAGGCCAUAGUUACAGGAUUGAGACUAGCACUUAAGUAUAUGGUGAAGCAUUUAAAGCUUCGUUGUGAUUCCUAACUCGUAGUCAACCAAGUCGAAGGGACUUUCCAAAUCAAAGAACAAAGGUUUCAAAAAUAUUAGACCGAGAUCUGCAAGUUGUUGCCUAAGUUCGAAGAAUGCCAGCUCGACCAGAUCCUGCAUGCUCAGAAUGUUGAAGCGGAUGGCCUCACCAAAUUGGUUGCAGCCACUAAAAGCAUCACGACCGGGGAUAAAAGCGUAGACCACCUUUUCAACUCGUCAUUGGACCAAAUCGAGUUAAGAUCUGUAAGUUUAACUUGGGAUUGGCGCAAUCGUAUUAUCGCCUACUUGCGGGACGACAUACUCCCAAACGACAAAAAGAAAGCCAAAAAACUAAGAAUAUAGGCAUUCAAAUAUAACCUCUUCCACAUCAACCUAUACAAGAGGACAUACGACGACCCUUUGGCGAAAAUUUUGGCCCAAACUAAACCCAAUUCAUCCUCGAAGAAGUCCAUGAUGGCCAUUGCGGUGCCCAUUCUAGCGAUCGAGCAGUCAUUAAGUGUCUCAUACAUGCAUGAUACUACUGGACCACCAUGAAAAAAGAUGCCUCGUAAUUUGUGAAGAAAUACGAACAAUGUCAGAAAUACCCCCAAUAAUUCACCAAGCAGGCGAGCAUCUCCACUCAGUAACCUCUACAUAACCGUUCAUCAAGUGGGAAAUGGACAUCAUGGGCCCCUUCCUAGCAGGGAGAGGUAAUGUGCGAUUUUUUUUUUAUAGUUUUAACUAAUUAUUUCUAUAAAUAGGUGGAAGCAGGAGCAUUCGCCCAAAUAUGCGAACGAGAAGUAAUCACCUUCAUAUGGAUAAACAUCAUCUGCCGAUUCGGCCUACCCAAAGAGAGCAACUGCGACAACGGGCCCAGUUUAUGGGAAAGAAAAUUAUCGAAUUCUUCGAGAAAUGGCAUAUUAAGAGGAUACUUCAACCCCGUAUCACCCAGCGGGUAAUGGGCAGGCAAAAUCCUCCACCAAGUCCAUAUUAAACAUCAUGAAGAAAAUGCUCGAAGACGCCAAGGGACUGUGGCCAAAAAUACUCCCAGAAGUAUUAUGGGCGUAUAGAACCACCCCGAAGACAGGCACAUGAGAGACACACAACUCUCUAGUCUACGGAAUUGAAGAAAUCAUACUAGACGAUGUCGCAAAACCCAACCUAAGAUACUUCCACGAAAGCGGUACUAGUAAUGACGAGAGUAAAAGACAAGAACUCGAUGAGAUCGACAAACGAAGAGAUAUGGCAUACAUAAGGAUGGUCAUCCAAAAGCAGCAAGUAGAGCGUUACUACAACAAGAAAGUAAAGGUCCGACUGCUCAAAGUCGGGGACUACGUACUCAAAGCCAAAACCCAAGCAAGUAGAGACCCAUGGGAAAGCAAACUGGAAACAAAUUGAGACGGUCCAUACAAAAUUACAGCCAAAGAAAACAAGGGUUCGUUCCAACUAGAGACGAUGGAAGGCGAACAAUUACGAAAUAAUUGGAACAUCAGCCACCUCAAAUACUUCAACUUCUAAAAGGAAGAAGCGCUCCCAAGUCGUACUCUUUUUCCCCUCACCUGGGUUUUGUCCCAUUAGGGUUUUCUCAAAAAGGUUUUUAACGAGGAGACGAAAAGGUCACUUUGAGUCUAAGUAUGCGAAGGAGGGACUGCUUUCUCUUUCAUUGCCCGACUCCUGAAUACUCUCCAAGUUUAACAAUGAAGGGACUAGAUUAACUGGGACUGGAACCCUAGCCAAUGCCUAAUGUUUGUAUCUUUCUCCAAUCAUGUCGUCACAGCAACAAUAUCAAAGUAAUAGAAACUUACGUUUAUCAAAGCCGCCUUAACAAAAGGAUAAGUUCGACCCAGCUCGAAUAACAUUUAUCGGCCCUCGGCCACAUGUUAACAAAAGGUUAAGUUCGACCCAGCUCGAACAAUACCUAUCGGCCCUCGACUACACCUUACCAAAAGGUUAAGUUUGACCCAGCUCGAACAACACCUAUCGGCCCUCGGCCACAACUUAGCAAAAGAUCAAAAUAAACCAAGUUCGAACAACAUCUAUUAGCCAAAUCUACAUGAAGAGGCACACUCGACCUAUAUAAACAAAGGGCACAUAUGACCCGUAAAUAUUCAUCCCCAAGGCUACGACCAAUUAGAAGACGACGUCAAUGAAAAGGGCAGAAAUCAUAACGAGCAAACAACAAAAGCAAAGUAUACAAGUGUAGAAACAAGUGGAAGGCGUGGAAGAAGGCGCAAAAAACAACUUAAAUAUUCAUAUAUGAAUAAAAAGUUCAUUACAAGGGCUCUUGAAGACGCCGUCAAAAAUACACAAAAAUGUCUAAAGGAAAAACUACUGGCCCUCGCCAUCAUGACCCUCCGCACCCUCAUCAUCUGGGUUCCCAGCAUCCUCGCCACCCUCGCCCUGAGGAUAAAAGGUAUCAUACGAGGCAUCCUCUUCAAUUCGGUAUAUGCCCUCUUCCCUAUCUGACUCGUCAGGUUGAGGCGUGGCGGGAUCGUACGUCAAAAACAGAGCCUACUGUAUGCAAGUCCCGAAACACAUUUAAUCGGGCCUCGUCGUGGAUCCAUUCUUCGUACAACUCCCGAGGUACACUGGGAAAAUUAGAAGCGUUGGAAGAAUACGACCAUGCAAGUAGUUGAGCCCUCUCAGCCUCCAACGCGGUCACUUGGUCAUAAAGAUCGAGCUCUCCUUUUCCAGCUCCCCGAUCCUUUCCUUAAGCUGAUCCUCUUUAGAUCUCGCCGUUGAUUGGUCAUUUUCCCGCUCGGUCCGAAGAGUCUUAUUUGCCAACUCGAGGAUCUCCACCUCCUUCCGAGUGUCCAAACGAGAGGACUCUGCCUUCUCAAGUUCCUCAUAUUUCUCGGCAAUCUCGCCGCUGAGGGCUUCCGCCUAAAACCUACACUCUUCAAGUUGUCCUCACAACUCAACCACUUGGGCUUGAAGAUCACUGCAUUGGGCCUCUACUCCCUUGCUAACCUCGAGCUCCUUCUCUACUUCUCAACGUCCCUUCAAGGACGCUGUAUUUCUCUAUGGCAUGCACCAGCUCCUCGUCCCCUUUCUUCAAAUCUUCCCUCAGGGACCGCACUUCUCCCUUCAGGUGCUCUCAAUUUCCAUAAUCACCGUCUUCAAAUCAAAGGAAAAAAUUUAGAACUUAAGAGUGUUCUAAAGAGUUAGGAAAAGUUCGUACAAUAAUACUACCUCUUUAGUGUUCACCAAUAAGUCACGAUCCAUCGGGAUCAUGAUAGUCCUCGAACCCCCCUCCAACCUCACCUUGAGUUGGGCGAGCCCCUCGUCGAUCAUUCUAAGGUCACCCAAGUCGACAUCCAAUCCCGACUCAUCGCCCUAUUUAGAAACACUAUUUCCCCUAUCAUAAGUAGGCAAAGAAGCGUCCACGAUUGUUUGAGAGGUUAAAGCCUCCUCUUGUCGCGAAAGUUCAUGGACGCCAGCAGCCGCCUCCUCAGUCUCCCUCCCCUUAAAAUGUAGAGACACGCCUACAUCAGCUUCCAUCGUCCUUGGGGCAUCAAGACUCGAUUCAACAUCAUCAUUCACAAAAUUCAUCGUUGUCUCAUGAAACGAAAAAUCCCCUUCCACAACAUUAACGGCUAGAGGGACUCUAUCACCCACGUCCAAAGACCUCCUUUUUAGAGGUUGAAGAUCCCCAUCGCUGGGUGAAUGUUCAUUGUCCUCGUCAAUAAGUGAAAAUAGAUGAGGGACAGAAGUCGCGAUGACCGGAACAAGGACGGAGGCAAAAGCGGCGACGACUAGAGUUGGGAUAAAAGUAGGAAUGGCAAUGGCCGAGGCAGGGGCGGAGACUAAAGGCGUAGUGGACCUCCUCUUCCGGAACGAGGGUACAAGGGCCCUCGACCUCCUCGUAGAGCGUCUGACCGGACCUAGAGAAAAAUUGGAAAGGAAGAAAUCAACAACAGACAUAGACGAAAGAAACACGACGUCGACAGUAGGGAAGAGAUUACCUGCCGAGGGAAGAGAUGGCUUGAAUUUCUGAGAGAAACUCGACUAGUCACGUAUCCCCGCCGUAUGAGGAAGGAUAUGUCUGACCCAAUUGGAAAUAUGGGUCACCAUCCGAAGAGGUCAAAUAAUAGAUGCAAAAAAAGGAUAGAUGAUUAACCAACCCACAACAAGAAAAAUGCUAAACAAAAAAAAAA